ACAGCUCCCCAGCCCCUGGUACUGCUUUGGUCAUGGUCAUUGACGUCUGGCUCCCAUGGCCUUAUCCGACCCAUCCUCGUGAAGAGGAACUACCUUUCUCUAAUGUCCUCGAAGAGACAAGACCCAAGACACAGAAGACAAAACAUCCCUGGAGGCAGCCAAACAUCUGGACCAGAUGAUGAGUGCACAGGUGAGGGUGCUGGGAUGGCUUCUCCAGGAGCGGGGAUGGAAGAUGAUUUGGAGCCCUUGGGAAUUUCUGCAGGUGUGUCUGCAGGGAGGACUUUUCAAGCCCCACGGCUGGAUGCUGCACACAAUCCCAGCUCCCAUGGCAGGGGUGAGUAGUGUGUCCCUGCUGACACCGCAGGCUGAGUCCUAUUUUUGUGGGAUCCAUCCACAUGAACUGGAAGUACUUUUAAUGUCCUCCAACAGGCAGUACCAAAGAGGAGACAGUAAGUUCCUGGA